UGAAAUUCUGUUUAGUUACUUGGGAUGGAAGAUCUUAUGAGCUCAUGAUCUCUUCCUUGAAACAUGAAGCUGCAAAAUGAUUAUCCUGGAUUAAAAUUACCCUGGAGAAGUGUUAACCUGUAAGAGAAGAAGUUUCACAGAUCAAGAAUUGAAAGAUGCCUGUGCUGCCGUUUCAAGUUCACAUGCUGCAUGCAUGUUUCAUAGCACAGUUUUUCUAAAACAAAAGAAAAUGAGAAUACCGGUCUUCAUGCACACACAUAUCACCCUCUCCUCGCCCCACAAAAUGAAGGAAAAAAAAAAAAAAAAAAGAAGAAAAGAGAAAAGUCUAGGGCAGAGACAGGAAAGAAGAUUUGUUAGGAAACUCUGAAAAACACCAAAGAAGAAUGACGAAAGCUAAUUGAAAGUUUCCCAUACAGUAUACUAAAUAAUAUAGCAUAGAUCAGCAAGAAGGCAGCAUAACCUUUCCUGUCCUCAGACUAACUCAUCUUACAUCAGCCAGAGAGGGAUUACACCAGGCACUUUAUACCAGAAGGGUGAUGGACAGCCUGACAAGACAGCAAUUUCCUCUUUUUGGAGUAACUGGAGUAGUUUUA